rnacentral:rRNA from 1 species
AUUGAACGCUGGCGGCAUGCCUAACACAUGCAAGUCGAACGGCAGCGCGGGAUUCUGGCUGGCGGCAAGUUGGCAACGGGUGGGUAAUUCAUAGGAAGAUGCCCAAUAGAUGGGGUUAGCACAGCGACAGCCGAACUAAUCUCGCACACGACCUGAGGGUGAAAGACGGGGAUCUUAGGACCUCGAGCGUCUGGAGCGCACGAUGGCAGAUUAGCUAGUUGGUGGGGUAAAGGCCUACCAAGGCGACGAUCUGUAGCAGGUCUGAGAGGCCGACCAGCCACACUGGGACUGAGACACGGCCCAGACUCCUACGGGAGGCAGCAGUGGGGAAUGUUGGACAAUGGGCGAAAGCCUGAGCCAGCAAAGCCGCGUGAGUGAUGAAGGCCUUCGGGUUGUAAAACACUUUUGUUGGGAACGAACAGGACUGUAACAAUACCACCAUGCGUUGACGGUACCCGCAGAAUAAGCACCGGCUAACUACGUG